UGGGGAAUAUUAGGCAAUGGGGGAAACCCUGACCUAGCCAUGCCGCGUGCGUGAAGAAGGUCUUAGGAUUGUAAAGCGCUUUCAGCGGGGAAGAUGAUGACGGUACCCGCAGAAGAAGCCCCGGCUAACUCCGUGCCAGCAGCCGCGGUAAUACGGAGGGGGCUAGCGUUGUUCGGAAUUACUGGGCGUAAAGCGCACGUAGGCGGACCAGAAAGUUGGGGGUGAAAUCCCGGGGGCUCAACCCCGGAACUGCCUCCAAAACUAUUGGUCUAGAGUUCGAGAGAGGUGAGUGGAAUUCCAAGUGUAGAGGUGAAAUUCGUAGAUAUUUGGAGGAACACCAGUGGCGAAGGCGGCUCACUGGCUCGAUACUGACGCUGAGGUGCGAAAGUGUGGGGAGCAAAACAGGAUUAGAUACCCUGGUAGUCCACACCGUAAAACGAUGAAUGCCAGUCGUCGGGUAGCAUGCUAUUCGGUGACACACCUAACGGAUUAAGCAUUCCGCCUGGGGAGUACGGUCGCAAGAUU
rnacentral:rRNA from 1 species